rnacentral:rRNA from 1 species
AUUGAACGCUGGCGGCAUGCCUUACACAUGCAAGUCGACCGGUAACAGGUCUUCGGAUGCUGACGAGUGGCGAACGGGUGGGUAAUCCAUCGGAACGUGCCUAGUAGUGGGGGAUAACUACUCGAAAGAGUGGCUAAUACCGCAUGAGAUCUACGGAUGAAAGCAGGGGAUCGCAAGACCUUGUGCUACUAGAGCGGCCGAUGGCAGAUUAGGUAGUUGGUGGGAUAAAAGCUUACCAAGCCGACCAUCUGUAGCUGGUCUGAGAGGACGAUCAGCCACACUGGGACUGAGACACGGCCCAGACUCCUACGGGAGUCAGCAGUGGGGAAUUUUGGACAAUGGGCGCAAGCCUGAUCCAGCAAUGCCGCGUGCAGGAUGAAGGCCUUCGGGUUGUAAACUGCUUUUGUACGGAACGAAAAGCCCUGGGUUAAUACCCUGGGGUCAUGACGGUACCGUAAGAAUAAGCACCGGCUAACUACGUGCCAGCCGCCGCGGUAAUAC